rnacentral:rRNA from 1 species
GACGAACGCUGGCGGCGUGCUUAACACAUGCAAGUCGAACGGAAAGGCCCUGCUUGUGUGGGGUGCUCGAGUGGCGAACGGGUGAGUAACACGUGAGUAACCUGCCCUUGACUUUGGGAUAACUUCAGGAAACUGGGGCUAAUACCGGAUAGGAGCUCCUGCUGCAUGGUGGGGGUUGGAAAGUUUCGGCGGUUGGGGAUGGACGCGCGGGUUAUCAGCUUGUUGGUGGGGUAGUGGCUUACCAAGGCUUUGACGGGUAGCCGGCCUGAGAGGGUGAACGGCCACAUUGGGACUGCGAUACGGCCCAGACUCCUACGGGAGGCAGCAGUGGAGAAUAUUGCACAAUGGGCGGAAGCCUGAUGCAGCAACGCCGCGUGCGGGAUGACGGCCUUCGGGUUGUAAACCGCUUUCGCCUGUGACGAAGCGUGAGUGACGGUAAUGGGUAAAGAAGCACCGGCUAACUACGUG